AGAGUUCGAUCCUGGCUCAGGAUGAACGCUGGCGGCGCGCCUAACACAUGCAAGUCGAACGAUUAAAGCACCUUCGGGUGUGUAUAAAGUGGCGAACGGCUGAGUAACACGUGGGCAACCUGCCCCUCUCAUUGGGAUAGCCACGGGAAACCGUGGAUAAUACCGAAUACUUCGAGUCUCCCGCAUGGAAGACUCGAGAAAGCUCCGGCGGAGAGGGAUGGGCCCGCGGCCUGUUAGCUUGUUGGUGGGGUAACGGCCCACCAAGGCGAUGAUAGGUAGCCGGCCUGAGAGGGUGGACGGCCACAAGGGGACUGAGAUACGGCCCUUACUCCUACGGGAGGCAGCAGUGGGGAAUAUUGGACAAUGGGGGCAACCCUGAUCCAGCAAUUCUGUGUGCACGAAGACGGUUUUCGGAUUGUAAAGUGCUUUCAGCAGGGAAGAAGGAAGUGACGGUACCUGCAGAAGAAGCGACGGCUAAAUACGUGCCAGCAGCCGCGGUAAUACGUAUGUCGCGAGCGUUAUCCGGAAUUAUUGGGCAUAAAGGGCAUCUAGGCGGCCUAACAAGUCAGGGGUGAAAACCUGCGGCUCAACCGCAGGCCUGCCCUGGAAACUACAGGGCUAGAGUGCUGGAGAGGUGGACGGAACUGCACGAGUAGAGGUGAAAUUCGUAGAUAUGUGCAGGAAUGCCGAUGAUGAAGAUAGUUCACUGGACGGCAACUGACGCUGAAGUGCGAAAGCUAGGGGAGCAAACAGGAUUAGAUACCCUGGUAGUCCUAGCUGUAAACGAUGAUUACUGGGUGUGGGCAUGAAGAGUGUCCGUGCCGAAGCUAAUGCGAUAAGUAAUCCGCCUGGGGAGUACGGCCGCAAGGCUGAAACUCAAAGGAAUUGACGGGGACCCGCACAAGCGGUGGAGCAUGUGGUUUAAUUCGACGCAACGCGAGGAACCUUACCAGCGUUUGACAUCUUAGGAAUGAGACAGAGAUGUUUCAGUGUCCCUUCGGGGAAACCUAAAGACAGGUGGUGCAUGGCUGUCGUCAGCUCGUGUCGUGAGAUGUUGGGUUAAGUCCCGCAACG
rnacentral:rRNA from 1 species